rnacentral:rRNA from 1 species
CCUACGGGAGGCAGCAGUGAGGAAUAUUGGUCAAUGGGCGAGAGCCUGAACCAGCCAAGUCGCGUGAAGGAUGACGGCCCUACGGGUUGUAAACUUCUUUUGUCAGGGAGCAAUUUAGUCCACGUGUGGGCUUAGCGGGAUUACCGUAAGAAAAAGCAUGGGCUAACUCCGUCCCAGCAGCCGCGGUAAUACGGAGGAUGCGAGAGUUAUCCGGAUUUAUGGGGUUGAAAGGGUGCGGAGGCGGAAUAUAAAGUCAGCGGUAAAAAUUCGGGGCUCAACCCCGUCGUGCCGUUGAAACUGAUGUUCUUGAGUGGGCGAGAAGUAUGCGGAAUGCGUGGUGUAGCGGUGAAAUGCAUAGAUAUCACGCAGAACUCCGAUUGCGAAGGCAGCAUACCGGCGCCCAACUGACGCUGAAGCACGAAAGCGUGGGUAUCGAACAGGAUUAGAUACCCCUGUAGUC